rnacentral:rRNA from 1 species
GCAGCCGCGGUAAUACGUAGGGCGCGAGCGUUGUCCGGAAUUAUUGGGCGUAAAGGGCUUGUAGGCGGUUGGUCGCGUCUGCCGUGAAAUCCUCUGGCUUAACUGGGGGCGUGCGGUGGGUACGGGCUGACUUGAGUGCGGUAGGGGAGACUGGAACUCCUGGUGUAGCGGUGGAAUGCGCAGAUAUCAGGAAGAACACCGGUGGCGAAGGCGGGUCUCUGGGCCGUUACUGACGCUGAGGAGCGAAAGCGUGGGGAGCGAACAGGAUUAGAUACCCUGGUAGUCCACGCCGUAAACGUUGGGCACUAGGUGUGGGGGGCCUUUUCCGGGUUUUCCGCGCCGUAGCUAACGCAUUAAGUGCCCCGCCUGGGGAGUACGGCCGCAAGGCUAAAACUCAAAGGAAUUGACGGGGGCCCGCACAAGCGGCGGAGCAUGCGGAUUAAUUCGAUGCAACGCGAAGAACCUUACCAAGGCUUGACAUGCACGGCGGCACUGCAGAGAUGUGGUGGCAUUUAGUUGGUCGUGUGCAGGUGGUGCAUGGUUGUCGUCAGCUCGUGUCGUGAGAUGUUGGGUUAAGUCCCGCAACGAGCGCAACCCUUGUCUCGUGUUGCCAGCACGUUGUGGUGGGGACUCGCGGGAGACUGCCGGGGUCAACUCGGAGGAAGGUGGGGAUGACGUCAAAUCAUCAUGCCCCUUAUGUCUUGGGCUUCACGCAUGCUACAAUGGCCGGUACAGAGGGUUGCGAUGCCGUGAGGCGGGGCGAAUCCCUUAAAGCCGGUCUCAGUUCGGAUUGGGGUCUGCAACUCGACCCCAUGAAGUCGGAGUCGCUAGUAAUCGCAGAUCAGCAAUGCUGCGGUGAAUACGUUCCCGGGCCUUGUACACACCGCCCGUCACGUCAUGAAAGUUGGUAACACCCGAAGCCCAUGGCCUAACCACCGUUUGGUGGGGGGAGUGGUCGAAGGUGGGAUUGGCGAUUGGGACGAAGUCGUAACAAGGUAGCCGUACCGGAAGGUGCGGCUGG